rnacentral:lncRNA from 14 species
GCACUUUGUUGGCCGGCGGCAGCAGGAUCCCCGGCCGCACCGAGCGGAGACCCCGGGGCAGGAGGAGCACGGAAGGGAAGUGAUUUGUCCUGUUGGGCAACUGCCUUCUGAGUGACUGGAGAGAUGCCAGCCUUUUGAUCUGAAUCAAGCAGUGGCAGGGACAGCAUCUACCCAGGGUUUAAAUCCCAGGCACGUGUCAUUUGCACAAGUAGUUACUGAUUGUUUCCCUCAGUAAGAGACUAUAAGAAUGAAUGGACAUAUAUCAAACACCCCUCCUGGUGGAUAUGGAAGUUAUUUUCCUCAAAUGAAUGGCUAUGGUUCCCCAACAUUUGCCCAGUCAGAGAGGGAGCAGAAUUCAAGAACAAGUGCAAAAGCUCUUUAUGGUAAGGCGGCAUGAA